UGGGGUAUAGCUCAGUGGUAGAGUGUAUGCUUAGCAUGCACGAGAUCCUGGAUUCAAUCCCCAGUACCUCCA
rnacentral:tRNA from 1 species